rnacentral:rRNA from 1 species
AUACGGAGGGUGCAAGCGUUGUUCGGAAUCACUGGGCGUAAAGAGCAUGUAGGCGGUCUGUGAAGUUUGGUGUGAAAGCCCUCGGCUUAACCGAGGAAUUGCGCUGAAAACCAACAGACUAGAGUAUGAGAGGGGAUUGUGGAAUUCCUAGUGUAGAGGUGAAAUUCGUAGAUAUUAGGAGGAACACCUGUGGCGAAGGCGACUGCCUGGAUCAAUACUGACGCUGAGGUGCGAAAGCGUGGGGAGCAAACAGGAUUAGAAACCCUGGUAGUCC